GCCGAUGUAGCUCAGACGGUAGAGCAGCUGAUUCGUAAUCAGCAGGUCCGCAGUUCAAUCCUGCGCAUCGGCUCCA
rnacentral:tRNA from 2 species